rnacentral:ncRNA from 1 species
UCAAUUAGGGAAAAUUAUUUUAUGUUUAUAUUAAAUUUGGAUUUUCAAAGUUUAAUUUUGGCUUAAUGGUUAAUUGGUUGAAUUUUGUAUAUGUAAAUUUUAUAUUAAAUGUGGGGUGAGCGGUAUAAAAUAUUAAUUUUUAAGUAGUUUUAGAUUUAGAUAUUCAUAUUGAUUUAAACAAAGUUUGUGCCAGCAGUAGCGGUUAUACAAACUAGAUAAAUUAAUCUUAUUCAGUUGAAUUAAAAUAUUAUAUUAAUUUAAUAAAAAAUUUAUUAGGUGAAAUUUUAAAUUAUAGGAGGUUAGUUUUUUAUUUUGAUUUUUAUAAAUCUUUAUAUUAAACUAGGAUUAGAUACCCUAUUAUUGAAGACUUAAUUGGUUUUCUGGGGUUACUGUAAGAAAGAUCUUUAAAACUAAAAAUUUUGGCGGUAUUUUAGUCUUUUCAGAGGAACCUGUUUUGUAAUUGAUAAUCCACGAUGAAUAAAACUUUAAUUUUAAAUUUACAUAUCGUUGUUUAAAAAAUUUUAGGAGGAAGUUUUUAAAUUUUUAUUUAAAAUUUAUUUCAGAUCAAGGUGUAGUUAAUAUAAAAGUAAUAAUGGGUUACAUUAAAGAAAUUUUUGGUUUAAUUAAUGAAAUUUUUUAAUUAAAUUGGAUUUGAAAGUAAAUUUUAUAUAUUUAUAUAUUUUGAUUAAGCUCUAAAAUAUGCACAUAUCGCCCGUCACUUUCAUUUUAAGAUGAAAUAAGUCGUAACAGAGUAGGCUUAUUGGAAAAUGAGCCUAGAAUGAC